CCCUUAGAUGUUCUGGUCCGCACGCGCGCUACACUGAUGCAUUCAACGAGCCUAUCCUUGACCGACAGGUCCGGGUAAUCUUUGAAUCUGCAUCGUGACGGGGAUAGAUUAUUGCAAUUAUUAAUCUUCAACGAGGAAUGCCUAGUAGGCGCAAGUCAUCAGCUUGCGUCGAUUACGUCCCUGCCCUUUGUACACACCGCCCGUCGCUCCUACCGAUUGGGUGUGCUGGUGAAAUGUUCGGAUCGGCCGUUUGUCGCGGUUUCCGCGUCAUGUGGCUGAGAAGUUCAUUAAACCCUCCCACCUAGAGGAAGGAGAAGUCGUAACA
rnacentral:rRNA from 1 species